rnacentral:rRNA from 1 species
CCCUUAGAUGUUCUGGGCCGCACGCGCGCUACACUGAUGCAUUCAACAAGCCUAGCCUUGACCGAGAGGUCCGGGUAAUCUUUGAAACUGCAUCGUGAUGGGGCUAGAUUAUUGCAAUUAUUAAUCUUCAACGAGGAAUGCCUAGUAAGCGUGAUUCAUCAAAUCGCGUUGAUUACGUCCCUGCCCUUUGUACACACCGCCCGUCGCUCCUACCGAUUGAAUGUGUUGGUGAGGAGCUCGGAUUGGCAGCAGUUGGUGGUUCGUCACCGGCUAUUGCUGAGAAGUCCUCCAAACCGCCCCAUUUAGAGGAAGGAGAAGUCGUAACA